AUGAAAUAUUCAGCUGUACGAGCGAUAUAUUUGUUCGAGCGAUAUAUUUGUUCAAGCGAUACAAUCGUUCGCAUGAUAUAACUCUUCAAACGAUAUAAUUGUCCAAGCGGCACUAUAUUUAAAUAAUACAUUAUCAUUCGGGUCCGAUAUAAUACUUUGAAGUUUACAAAGAAAAGUAUUUUUUUCUUGUUGCGUCGUCUCAAGUAUAUUAAGAUAUAGAAGCCGUAAGGUACUCGUAGCUAUUUCAAGUAACGUGGCUAUAACGAUUGAUUUGAUCAAGGUAAAGAAAAAAAAAUUGUUUUGUUCGAUUUAUGAACGGUGGAAAAAAAGCUUACGAAAAAUUCUUGAUUUUUUCAGUGUUUUCUUGACAUUGCUUUGUUGUCUUGAAGGAAGAAAAAAAGUGAAAAGUGUUCAACAACAAUUAAGAAUCCUACAUAUUGUAAAAACUUAAUGUACUCCUUUGUAAAAUCCUUUGUAUGAGUGUCCCCUAUUUCAAGAGAAGUGGUAGGCACCAUGAGAUUUUCUGGUAGUGUUUCUUUUUUGGCAGUUAGAGAAACGAUAGAGGCAUCUUUAUUGCAGUUAUUUUCAAAUUUUGGUUUUUGACACAAACGGAUUUCAUAGGCUGUAAAACAUUAGUUUAAGUUUCACUUAUGCGGAACAGAGAGGACAAAAAAGCAAAAAUGUAGUUACCUUCAUUAGCAUCCAUAUACUCAUCUUUGUUACACCAAUUGAAAUUUUCGACAAGAUGGAUAUUAAGACUUUUUAAGUACUAGAUAAGUCAAACCAUUUUGGUUGAUCUGAAGAAUUUGUACAACGGAGACCUGCACGUUUCUCUUUUGGUAAUAACCUUAUUUUCGUUUCUUCUAACCAUACAACAAGAUUUUGACAUUGUUGUAACGCUUCUAAUACAAAAUUUGCUCAAUUUCAACUUUUCACUUUCCAUUGUUGUAAUACGUUCUUUUUUUUUUUUUGCACAGAAUAUACUGCAUUAUUCAGUAACAGAAUUUUAAAAGAUUCUACUGCAGUAUUAGGUAACAAAAUUUUUAACGUAUUAACGAUAUUGUGAAUAAAACAAAACGUUGAGAAAACCGCAAGUUGUAAUAAUUGUUUUUUCUUUAAAUUAAGUUUUUUGUUUUUUUCAUUGAGUU